rnacentral:lncRNA from 1 species
UUUGUUUUCCAAAUUACCCAAUUAACAACAUAAUGUUUUACCAAAUUAUUAAACUUUUUACAAGUCACAUAACACUAGGGCUGUCAAACCUAGCGGGCCGGGCUGGCCCGGCCCAACCCGACGGGCCUAGGCAAUUUUUUGGGUCGGGCCGGCCCAAAAUUUCAGCGGGCCUCUAAUAUUGAAGCCCAGCCCACCAUAGCACGGGCCGCCGGCGGCCGGGUCAAAACGGGCCAAAUUCUUAUAAGUAAAAUUUUAACUUAUUAUAUUUUCAAUAAUUGCGUAUUCACGUUUCCAUCUUGAAUAUUGAUAAAUAAUAAGCAAGUUUAAAAGGUAUUCAUAUUUAAAACAAAAUGCUUUUGAAAAGCAAAAGGUGAAUCAUCAUUCAUCACCUAUUCACGUUUAAAUCAGUAAAUUUUGCUUUUCUUAUUCAUUUUUAUUCUUUAGGUUGAUAGCUAAAUUAGAAAUUAUUUUAAUAUUAAGUACUAUAAUAUUAAAUGACUAAGUGAGGAUUUAAAUCCUAAUUUCAAUUUGCAAUCAGACGACUUUGACAUACUUUUUUUGGACUUGGACUUUUGGAGGAAUAAUGAUUAAUGAAUUUAAAAUAGCCUAUAACUGACAGGCCAAUUUAGGCCCGAAAGCCCAGCGGGCUGUUCGGCCCACGGGCCGCGUGACCCGGCGGGCCACGUGGGUUGGACCUGAGAGGCCCGGUUUUUUUUGGGCCUUGGAAAUCCUAGCCCAGCCCGGCCAAAACUACGGGUGGGCCGGGCUAAUUUCGGCCCAUUUUGACAGCUCUACAUAACACAAACCAUAUUACAUGAUCCUCUUGAACCAGUUUCUGAAAGCUCAAUGGAGAGAGAGAGAAAAAAGAAGAAAGAUUAAAAAAAAUUACAAAAUAAUGUGUCUUUCUAUAUAUACAUAACUCCUACAAGUAUAGUAUGAAGUGUAAUAUUUUACACGUAUUUU